rnacentral:misc_RNA from 1 species
GAUGAAGAACGUAGCGAAAUGCGAUAAGUAAUGUGAAUUGCAGAAUUCAGUGAAUCAUCGAGUCUUUGAACGCACAUUGCGCCCCCUGGUAUUCCGGGGGGCAUGCCUGUCCGAGCGUCAUUGCUGCCCUCAAGCACGGCUUGUGUGUUGGGCCCCCGCCCCCCGGCUUCGGGGGGCGGGCCCGAAAGGCAGCGGCGGCACCGCGUCCGGUCCUCGAGCGUAUGGGGCUUCGUCACCCGCUCUGUAGGCCCGGCCGGCGCCCGCCGGCGACCCCAAUCAAUCUUUCCAGGUUGACCUCGGAUCAGGUAGGGAUACCCGCUGAACUUAAGCAUAUCAAAAAGCGGAGGA